GCGCGCGUAGCUCAGUGGUUAGAGCUCUGGUUUUACACACCAGCGGUCGGGGGUUCGAGUCCCUCCGCGCGCA
rnacentral:tRNA from 1 species